AAGCAGCUCCCCACAUGGCCUCAGCUUCUGUCUUCAAGAUCCUGCCCUGUGUGAGUUCCUGUCCUGACUUCCUUUAGUGAUGAACAACAAUGCUGACGUAUGAAUGGGAAAAUGAUGUCACCAGCAAAUCAUCCAGAGGAGGUCUCUUUCCUGCAAGGGUUAGGUAUCCUUGACUUCACUGCAUGAAAGAAUCUCAAGAGAAGACAGUUUGAAGCUGAGUUGGAAUCUAUUAAGAGACUUUGUGAAAGACUGGAGAGAUGGCUCAGUGGUUAAGAGCACUUGCUAUGAAACCAUACGGUCUGAGGUAGAAUGACGAAGACUGGAUGGAUAUUUCCAUGAAUAUCUGGAAGGCAUUAUGGCAGCAGGAAUGUAACUGGCUCAGAGAAUACUAAUAAAUAAAUAAACAAAUAGAUAAUAAAAAAGA